AGACUGCCGAAGUCCUCCUGUUCUUUUCGCUGUCGCUGUCGUCUUUCCACCCGUGCGGCCGCCUCAGCGUGCUCGGUCUGGCCUUCCGCCGGAUUAGCAAGACAAGCAAACUACCGUGGCCGACGAGACGACGGCGUGCAGCGCCCGACUGCGAGGGGACGUCGUACCCACGCCUGCAGCCGUCGACCUCGCCGGUGCUGCUGCACUUCCGAGAGCCACAGCUGGUGCUCAACCCCAAGGUCACGCCCACUUCGCUACAGCCAAUUACGCACGCGUGUGCAUGUGCAACGUUAGCAUAGCCAAGGUGUGGGGUUAAAGUUCCCAAAUGCUCUCUCUCACCUCCUCCUGGCAGCCACGUGAAGUGUGCUGUGUCGCUGUGGCAACAGAGUAAAUACAGAGAGGAGCCACGGCGUCAUCGUGAUGGCGACCGCACGAUAUCCUCACGUGUCAAUGAUGGCAUUUGUGAAACCAGCAAAAACGUAAAGCACACUUCAAAUUUGAAGAUCCCGUAAGAUGAGCUCUCACUCUGGCACAUUCUUCACAAACAGAAGAGCCGCUAAGUGUGUGCGUGUAUUUGUAAAAACGCACACAAACGCGCGCGCGCCCAGGACGAAGUUGACAGGUGGGCUGGUCCACUCAGCCAAUGACUCUCAAUAACAAUGAGUCAUUUCCUUAAUGAUGACGUCACUCUCACACACAAUUACAAUUAGCCGCCCGGGGGCAUCUUCUCGUCUGUAAUCACGUGACAACCACGUUGGCACACGCACGCACGCACACAAAAGGUCAGCUGAAAAGACAUUUCUAUCCUGCCUGUGACAAAAUGUGUGUCUGUGCAUCUUUAUGUACGGCUGUGUAUGUUUGUCAUCACACGUUGAUCAAAACAUUGCUUGUUUUCCCCUGACAACCAAGUCUUGCUUUGUCAGUCAAAACCCAAUCUCACUGCACAAUCGUCGUCGUCGUCGUCAUGCCGGUGACGGUGCGCUGUGAUAGGUCGGCAGUCCUGCUACGUGCCGCCGUGCAAGCGCGACAACCAGAAGAACCGUGACAGCGUCCUCUGGCGGCAGGAGUACUUCAGCCGCCAGCUGGCCGGCCAGAGCUGAGCCAGGAGCUGAGCCAGGAGCUGAGCAGGCGGGCGGGCGGGCGACCGCAAGGGGGCGACAACGAGUCUUGCUCUCGCGCACACAGACGCAGACACAAAAACACGCACAAUGG